UACGUAGGGCGCAAGCGUUAUCCGAAAUUAUUGGGCGUAAAGAGCUCGUAGGCGGUUUGGUAAGUCUGGUGUGAAAUCUCCACGCUCAACGUGGAGGGGCCACCCGAUACUGCCAUGACUGGAGUCCGGUAGAGGAGUGUGGAAUUCCCGGUGUAGCGGUGAAAUGCGCAGAUAUCGGGAGGAACACCAAUGGCGAAGGCAGCUCGCUGGGACGGUACUGACGCUGAGACGGCGAAAGCGUGGGGAGCAAACAGGGAUUAAGAACCC
rnacentral:rRNA from 1 species